rnacentral:rRNA from 1 species
AGAGUUUGAUCCUGGCUCAGGACGAACGCUGGCGGCGCGCCUAACACAUGCAAGUCGAACGAGCGAGAGAGAGCUUGCCUUCUCAAGCGAGUGGCGAACGGGUGAGUAACGCGUGAGGAACCUGCCUCAAAGAGGGGGACAACAGUUGGAAACGACUGCUAAUACCGCAUAAGCCCACAGCUCGGCAUCGAGCAGAGGGAAAAGGAGCAAUCCGCUUUGAGAUGGCCUCGCGUCCGAUUAGCUAGUUGGUGAGGUAACGGCCCACCAAGGCAACGAUCGGUAGCCGGACUGAGAGGUUGAACGGCCACAUUGGGACUGAGACACGGCCCAGACUCCUACGGGAGGCAGCAGUGGGGAAUAUUGCACAAUGGGGGAAACCCUGAUGCAGCGACGCCGCGUGGAGGAAGAAGGUCUUCGGAUUGUAAACUCCUGUUGUUGAGGAAGAUAAUGACGGUACUCAACAAGGAAGUGACGGCUAACUACGUGCCAGCAGCCGCGGUAAAACGUAGGUCACAAGCGUUGUCCGGAAUUACUGGGUGUAAAGGGAGCGCAGGCGGGAAGACAAGUUGGAAGUGAAAUCUAUGGGCUCAACCCAUAAACUGCUUUCAAAACUGUUUUUCUUGAGUAGUGCAGAGGUAGGCGGAAUUCCCGGUGUAGCGGUGGAAUGCGUAGAUAUCGGGAGGAACACCAGUGGCGAAGGCGGCCUACUGGGCACCAACUGACGCUGAGGCUCGGAAGUGUGGGUAGCACACAGGAUUAGAUACCCUGGUAGUCCACACCGUAAACGAUGAUUACUAGGUGUUGGAGGAUUGACCCCUUCAGUGCCGCAGUUAACACAAUAAGUAAUCCACCUGGGGAGUACGACCGCAAGGUUGAAACUCAAAGGAAUUGACGGGGGCCCGCACAAGCAGUGGAGUAUGUGGUUUAAUUCGACGCAACGCGAAGAACCUUACCAAGUCUUGACAUCCCUUGACGAACAUAGAAAUAUGUUUUCUCUUCGGAGCAAGGAGACAGGUGGUGCAUGGUUGUCGUCAGCUCGUGUCGUGAGAUGUUGGGUUAAGUCCCGCAACGAGCGCAACCCUUACUGUCAGUUACUACGCAAGAGGACUCUGGCAGGACUGCCGUUGACAAAACGGAGGAAGGUGGGGAUGACGUCAAAUCAUCAUGCCCUUUAUGACUUGGGCUACACACGUACUACAAUGGCGUUAAACAAAGAGAAGCAAGACCGCGAGGUGGAGCAAAACUCAGAAACAACGUCCCAGUUCGGACUGCAGGCUGCAACUCGCCUGCACGAAGUCGGAAUUGCUAGUAAUCGUGGAUCAGCAUGCCACGGUGAAUACGUUCNCCGGGCCAUUGUACACAC